GCGGUUGUAGCUCAGCUGGCAGAGCGUCGCACUGUGACUGCGAAGGUCGAGAGUUCAAGCCUCUCCGAUCGCC
rnacentral:tRNA from 1 species